CAGCCGCCACGGUAAUACGAAGGUCCCAAGCGUUGUUCGGAAUCACUGGGCGUAAAGGGAGCGUAGGCGGCGUGGUAAGUCAGAUGUGAAAUCCCGGGGCUCAACCCCGGAACUGCAUCCGAUACUGCCAUGCUUGAGGGUUGGAGAGGUAGCAGGAAUUCUUGGUGUAGCAGUGAAAUGCGUGGAUAUCAAGAGGAACACUCGUGGCGAAGGCGAGCUACUGGACAACAUCUGACGCUGAGGCUCGAAGGCCAGGGUAGCGAAAGGGAUUAGAUACCCCUGUAGUCCCUGUCUCUUAUAC
rnacentral:rRNA from 1 species